rnacentral:lncRNA from 1 species
AAGUGAAAGUUAACACUAUAGCCUCUUUUUGUUUCACAUUAAACUGCUAUUACUAUAUGCAGCUAACCUCUCCAAACAACUUAUUGAAAAUAAUGGUCUAUUCCUAAAAAAAAAAAAAAAAAAAAAAAAAAAAAAAAAAAAAAAAAAAAAAAAAAAAAAAAAAAAAAAAAAAAAAAAAAAAAAAAAAAAAAAAAAAAAAAAAAAAAAAAAAAAAAAAAAAAAAAAAAAAAAAAAAAAAAAAAAAAAAAAAAAAAAAAAAAAAAAAAAAAAAAAAAAAAAAAAAAAAAAAAAAAAAAAAAAAAAAAAAAAAAAAAAAAAAAAAAAAAAAAAAAAAAAAAAAAAAAAAAAAAAAAAAAAAAAAAAAAAAAAAAAAAAAAAAAAAAAAAAAAAAAAAAAAAAAAAAAAAAAAAAAAAAAAAAAAAAAAAAAAAAAAAAAAAAAAAAAAAAAAAAAAAAAAAAAAAAAAAAAAAAAAAAAAAAAAAAAAAAAAAAAAAAAAAAAAAAAAAAAAAAAAAAAAAAAAAAAAAAAAAAAAAAAAAAAAAAAAAAAAAAAAAAAAAAAAAAAAAAAAAAAAAAAAAAAAAAAAAAAAAAAAAAAAAAAAAAAAAAAAAAAAAAAAAAAAAAAAAAAAAAAAAAAAAAAAAAAAAAAAAAAAAAAAAAAAAAAAAAAAAAAAAAAAAAAAAAAAAAAAAAAAAAAAAAAAAAAAAAAAAAAAAAAAAAAAAAAAAAAAAAAAAAAAAAAAAAAAAAAAAAAAAAAAAAAAAAAAAAAAAAAAAAAAAAAAAAAAAAAAAAAAAAAAAAAAAAAAAAAAAAAAAAAAAAAAAAAAAAAAAAAAAAAAAAAAAAAAAAAAAAAAAAAAAAAAAAAAAAAAAAAAAAAAAAAAAAAAAAAAAAAAAAAAAAAAAAAAAAAAAAAAAAAAAAAAAAAAAAAAAAAAAAAAAAAAAAAAAAAAAAAAAAAAAAAAAAAAAAAAAAAAAAAAAAAAAAAAAAAAAAAAAAAAAAAAAAAAAAAAAAAAAAAAAAAAAAAAAAAAAAAAAAAAAAAAAAAAAAAAAAAAAAAAAAAAAAAAAAAAAAAAAAAAAAAAAAAAAAAAAAAAAAAAAAAAAAAAAAAAAAAAAAAAAAAAAAAAAAAAAAAAAAAAAAAAAAAAAAAAAAAAAAAAAAAAAAAAAAAAAAAAAAAAAAAAAAAAAAAAAAAAAAAAAAAAAAAAAAAAAAAAAAAAAAAAAAAAAAAAAAAAAAAAAAAAAAAAAAAAAAAAAAAAAAAAAAAAAAAAAAAAAAAAAAAAAAAAAAAAAAAAAAAAACUGAAAUAUCUUGCUUGCAUAAGUAUUCAACCCCCACACAUUAAUAUUUGGUAGAGCCACCUUUCGCU